UCGAACGGCACCCCUCUCCGGAGGGAAGCGAGUGGCGAACGGCUGAGUAACACGUGGAGAACCUGCCCCCUCCCCCCGGGAUAGCCGCCCGAAAGGACGGGUAAUACCGGAUACCCCCGGGCGCCGCAUGGCGCCCGGGCUAAAGCCCCGACGGGAGGGGAUGGCUCCGCGGCCCAUCAGGUAGACGGCGGGGUGACGGCCCACCGUGCCGACGACGGGUAGCCGGGUUGAGAGACCGACCGGCCACAUUGGGACUGAGAUACGGCCCAGACUCCUACGGGAGGCAGCAUG
rnacentral:rRNA from 1 species